GUCAGGGGACUACGAGCAAAGCUUAAAACCCAAAGGACUUGACGGUACCCCAUAUCCCCCUAGAGGAGCCUGUCCAAUAAUCGAUAAUCCCCGUUUAACCUCACCACAUCUAGCUUAUCAGCCUGUAUACUUCCGUCGCAAGCCUACCACAUGAGCGAAACUUAGUAGGCCAAAUGUCUACACAUAAUAUCCUUAUGUCGACAGUACGGCAGGUCAAAGUGCAGCAAACGCUGUGGGAUGAGAUUGGCUACACUUUUUAACUUAAAAGAAACGGAAAACAAAAUGAAAUCUUUGUCAGAAGGUGGAUUUAGCAGUAAAAUGGAAAUAUUAAAUUCAUUUUAACUCGGCACUGGGGUGUGU
rnacentral:rRNA from 1 species